rnacentral:lncRNA from 1 species
UUCUACAUUGCACCAACCAAUCCACCCUGCGCCCAAAUCGACUUGUAAAUAAACUUCACCAAGCCAUAGUGAUAAGCAAGAAAACGCACCUGAGAGUACCACUCCCCAAAGUUAUCAUCCUUCUUGUACGCCAUCCCCAGUUUCAUCUCCUUCUUCACCUCCUUCUUCUUCUUCCCUGCAAUCCAUGAACCAAGAAACAAGCUCAGAGAAUGCAAAUAUCAAAUAUCAAACUCAAAUCCAGAGGAAUCAAUAGCUCAAGAAGAAGAUAAACAGGAACGCACCUCCGCCUCCGCCCUUGUUGGUCUUUUCACCUCCGCCCUUGUUGGUCGACAUGGCU